AGAGUUUGAUCCUGGCUCAGGACGAACGCUGGCGGCGUGCCUAAUACAUGCAAGUAGAACGCUGAAGAAAGGAGCUUGCUUCUUUUGGAUGAGUUGCGAACGGGUGAGUAACGCGUAGGUAACCUGCCUUGUAGCGGGGGAUAACUAUUGGAAACGAUAGCUAAUACCGCAUAACAGCUUUUGACACAUGUUAGAAGCUUGAAAGAUGCAAUUGCAUCACUACGAGAUGGACCUGCGUUGUAUUAGCUAGUAGGUAGGGUAAUGGCCUACCUAGGCGACGAUACAUAGCCGACCUGAGAGGGUGAUCGGCCACACUGGGACUGAGACAUGGCCCAGACUCCUACGGGAGGCAGCAGUAGGGAAUCUUCGGCAAUGGGGGUAACCCUGACCGAGCAACGCCGCGUGAGUGAAGAAGGUUUUCGGAUCGUAAAGCUCUGUUGUAAGAGAAGAACGUGUGUGAGAGUGGAAAGUCCACACAGUGAUGGUAACUUACCAGAAAGGGACGGCUAACUACGUGCCAGCAGUCGCGGUAAUACGUAGGUCCCGAGCGUUGUCCGGAUUUAUUGGGCGUAAAGCGAGCGCAAGCGGUUUAAUAAGUCUGAAGUUAAAGGCAGUGGCUUAACCAUUGUUCGCUUUGGAAACUGUUAAACUUGAGUGCAGAGGGGGAGAGUGGAAUUCCAUGUGUAGCGGUGAAAUGCGUAGAUAUAUGGAGGAACACCGGUGGCGAAAGCGGCUCUCUGGUCUGUAACUGACGCUGAGGCUCGAAAGCGUGGGGAGCAAACAGGAUUAGAUACCCUGGUAGUCCACGCCGUAAACGAUGAGUGCUAGGUGUUAGGCCCUUUUCGGGGCUUAGUGCCGCAGCUAACGCAUUAAGCACUCCGCCUGGGGAGUACGACCGCAAGGUUGAAACUCAAAUGAAUUGACGG
rnacentral:rRNA from 1 species